rnacentral:piRNA from 1 species
UGGGAUGCACAGGACAGUAGUAA